UACGUAGGGGGCGAGCGUUGUCCGGAUUUAUUGGGCGUAAAGAGCGUGUAGGCGGCCUGACAGGUCUGCUGUGAAAGCUCGAGGCUCAACCUCGAGAUGUCGGCGGAAACCGUCUGGCUAGAGUCCGGAAGAGGAGAGUGGAAUUCCUGGUGUAGCGGUGAAAUGCGCAGAUAUCAGGAAGAACACCUAUGGCGAAGGCAGCUCUCUGGGACGGUACUGACGCUGAGACGCGAAAGCGUGGGGAGCGAACAGG
rnacentral:rRNA from 1 species